rnacentral:lncRNA from 1 species
CAGCAUGAGAAGUUUGAGAUUCAUUCAGAUCCACUGAAACAGGUUGACGUUUCCCCUAAUGAAUCAGUGUAACGAUGAAUAGUGUUCAAUGAAACAGUAGCCAUAAGUACAACGUUCAUUGGUGUGCAUUUCAACUUAUUCCUCGAAUUCUACUAGAGUCCUUUAGGGCUCCAUGCAAUAGAUCUCUGGAUCGAUUUUGAAGAACCACUCAAUCCUAAUGAUAGCUGAAGCCCUUUACUCUAUGGUUUCUUACCUCCACUGGUCGACGCUGCAUUAGCUUCGUCGCGCAGAUCUUUCAAUUGAACGUCGAUGGAUUUAGUCCUUGAACUCUCAACAAUGGAUAGAAUUUUCUUUCUAGGAUUCCCUCAUCUUCGCUUGCCCUCCAUAC